GAGGCAAAUAGCCGGCGAGAACAGAAAUCUCGGGCCGGGCCUGACCCCGCACCAGCUGCUGAGACCAGGCGGCCCUGGGCAGACUGCUGGUCCGGGACCUACUAUGUGCCAGGUGUGGCAAGGCCAACAGACCAGGAGACGACUGCCAUUGGAAAGAGAGUUUGCUGCUCACAGAUCCCAAGAGAAGGCCACCAUCCCAUGGGUGCCACACGAGGAAGCUCCAGUGCUGGUCGGGAGGGGAGAACAGGGGUAAGAAUCUUUAUUGUGGGUUCCGUGGGAAGGAACAGGUGAAACAGGGGAAGCAGGCUGAGGACUGGCUAGGUGGGAUGAUUUCAGUGGACUCUGGGGCACAGGGGCUGUCCCCAGUUGCCUGGUACAUGCCCUGGGAUGAUUCGGGCAGGGGAUAGUGGCCCUGAGAGUGAGAGACCUGUCAAGAAGGUGGUCAGGUUUUAGGCUCUGCAUGGUUGGUCUGUAUUUCAGAAGCGUGUUCACGGGUGAGUUAUUUGUCUUCCCUGGGAAUUAGUAACCCUGGGAGUGGCAGUCCCUCUAGGGUCAGGAAGACCCAAAUGUCAAAGCAUCAGAAUACAGAAACCAAAGGACAUGGUUAAUACAAUGAAGAACGCCUGAAAAAUCAAUAAGAAAGAGAAACAGCCCAGUAGACAAAAGACUCAACUGUAACUUCAUAGGAGAGGAAACACAGUAUGAGAAGUAAAAACACAGGUGCAAAUUAAAACUACAGUAGGACAAAAAAAUACAGUAAGACACCAUUUCUCAUCCAUCAGAUGGGCAAACAUUAAAAAGCAGCUGCUGGGGGUGGAACCUGGUGCCACCACUUUGGAAAACAAAUAGGUAUUUUUAUCAUGAAGUUAAAGAUACAUGUUCCCUUUAACCAAGUACACGCAUUCACAGAUAUAGUCCCCAAAGGAAACUCUAGCACGUGUCUUUAUUUAAACAUUUUUCGUUGAAUACAUAACUUUAGGUAGUCACUUUACUCCAAUACCUUGGAGACGUGAUUCCACCACAUUCUGCUUCCUCACUAUUGUUGGGAAGUCAGCUGUGGGUCUCAACCCCACCUUGCCUCUCCAGCAGCUUCUAGGAUGUUCUCUUCUGGAAUAACCAUUCCUGAUAUUCUGUAAUUGAUGGUUUGGAUUCUUGAAAUUAUGAGCCAAACUCAUGGCCAAAGUUGCUUACAUCCAUACCAUCCCUGUGUUAUCAUGGGUGAGUGAAAGCCACAUUACACACCCUCCACAAAGCCCAACCUCUGUGUUCUGCUUCCUACCCAAUAGGGACACCCUCCCGCCAGAACUUCCCAUCACUAUAGUAACGAAGGCUCUCACCCAUGCUUUCCCCUCCCUCCUCCUGCCUCCUCAUGUGGCCCUGCCUGGUGUGAUAUGCCCUCCUCUCCCUCUUUUUGGGAACUAUAAAUCAUAAAUUCUUCUAUGAGGCAGUAGUCUCUGUGUUUGCCAUCUUUUUUAAAAAUUAAUUUUUAUUGGAGUAUAGUUGCUUUACAACGUUGUGUUAGCUUUUGCUGUACAGCAAAGUGAAUUGGCUGUACAUAUACAUAUAUCCCUUCUUUUUUUGAUUUCUUUCCUAUUAAGGUCACUACAGAGUACUGAGUAGAGUUCCCUGUGCUAUACAGUAGGUUCUCAUUAGUUUUCUAUUUUAUACAUAUUAUCAGUUGUGUAUAUAUGUCAAUCCCCAUCUCCCAAUUCAUCCCACCCCCAUUUCCCCCUUGGCAUCCAUACGUUUGUUCUCUACAUCUGUGUCUCUAUUUCUGCUUUGCAAAUAAGAUCAUCUAUCUUAACAUACCUGAUGAAAACAAAAUCCAGGUACACUUGAAUUCACUUGUCCUACCUUGGAUUCUUCAGGACACCUGGAUAUGUGGAUUGACGUCUUUCAUCAUCUCUGAACUUUCUCAGCUAUUUUCCAUUUAGAUACAGCCUUUAUUCUGUCUUCUCAUUCUAUGGCCUGCAUUUCACCUCCGACUCUCUUCCUCAGUUAUCAGGGGGCAGACCAAGCAGAGCAGAGGAGGUCAGUGAGCAGGGAGAGAGGAUGUGCAAGAAGCUGGACACACCUCACCUUGGAGGAUGUGUGGCCUUAAGUGGAGGUGAGACCCAGCAGCUGUGCUUCCUGACAGAGUUCCAGUCCAUCUUCCAUGAGCCAGCCCACAGCCCGGGGACACACCUGAGCCGGCCCAUGACCAGGGGACACUCCUGAGUCAGCCCACAGCCAGGGGACACGCUGGGCCAGCCCACAGCCAGGGAACGCACCUGAGCUAGCCCAUGGCCUGAUGAUACACCUGAACUAGCCCAAGGCCAGAGAACACACCUGAGCUAGGGGACAUGCCUGAGCAGCCUCCUGUCCCUGAUAACUGACACUGUCACCCACCGGUGACAAUGGAGAUGUGGGAGGUGUGUGGACACGAGCCCCUCCGAUGGCUGUGAGAACGUGGUGUUUCCGAGGGGACAGGCAAUCUUCCCUGAGGCCACACACUGGGUGCCAAUGGCGCACUACCUACCCUGUGGCUCAAUCCAACUUCGAGAGCCCCUGAUUGUCCCCAAGUCCCCACGCCUGCCGCCCCCAGCACAAGGCCUGUUGCGAGGGACGCACUCUCACAUCAGAAAAUCAUUUUGUGCAGUGAACCUCCCUGAUCCUUGUCCCCCAUCAUUCCCCCCCCCCCCCUUUUUUUUUUUAAAUUUAGAAAUCAAGAGAGAGAAUCUAGGCCAGGUCACGCUUGGGAAACUGCUGAGAUUUUUUUUCCUCUUCUACUCAAUACAUUUCUUUUAUCUUAAAAAAAAUUAAUACCAUUAGGUCAUUUCCACCCCUCCACCCUGCUCUCCUUUUUUUCUAUUUCUGGGAAAAAUCUUCAUUUUGUGUAUUUCUCAAGCAUCUUGACAUUCCGUCUGAGACUAAUGGCCGGAUCACUUCCUUCCAGCCCCUCUCAAAAUUCCUGCUGGUUUUAUCUCUUGCAAAUGCCUUAGUGCUGCAAAGCAAAUCCCGCCCCCCCCCAACCCUGUCUCUCCACCGCCCUCUCUGUGAAAAAGAAAAGGCCCCCGGCUCUCAGUGAGGUCCUCAGGCAACCCAGAUACAUCCUCCAGUGCCUUCAAACGUGCCUCAUCUGGGCUGCACCAACCUCUGCCUGUUAACUCUUUCAAAGAACACUUGUCGGUGUGUGAAAGCUGUCUAGGUUCAUUGAUAAAAAAGGUAUUGUCCUUUUUUUUUUACCAAAAAAGGUAUUGUAUAUAUUCUUUUCCAUUAUGGUUUAUCACAGGAUAUUGAAUAUAGUUCCCUGUGCUAUACGUUAGGACCUUGUUGUUUAUCCAUUCCAAAUGUAAUAGUUUGCGUCUACCAAAAAAAGAAUGUCUCUAUGUGUAUAACUGAGUCACUUUGCUGUACAGCAGAGACUGGUACAACAUUGUAAAUCAACUACACUUC
ensembl:lncRNA